UGGGGGAUAUUGCACAAUGGGCGAAAGCCUGAUGCAGCGACGCCGCGUGGGGGAUGAAGGCUUUCGGGUUGUAAACCUCUUUCGCUAUCGAACAAGGCCCGCUUAGGGUGGGUUGAGGGUAGGUGGAGAAGAAGCGCCGGCUAACUACGUGCUAGCAGCCGCGGUAAUACGUAGGGCGCGAGCGUUGUCCGGAAUUAUUGGGCGUAAAGGGCUUGUAGGCGGCUUGUUGCGCCUGCUGUGAAAACGCGGGGCUUAACUUCGCGCGUGCAGUGGGUACGGGCAGGCUUGAGUGUGGUAGGGGUGACUGGAAUUCCAGGUGUAGCGGUGGAAUGCGCAGAGAUCUGGAGGAACACCGAUGGCGAAGGCAGGUCACUGGGCCAUUACUGACGCUGAGGAGCGAAAGCAUGGGUAGCGAACAGG
rnacentral:rRNA from 1 species